UACGAAGGGUGCAAGCGUUACUCGGAAUUACUGGCGUAAAGGGUGCGUAGGUGGUUUGUUAAGUCUGCUGUGAAAUCCCCGGGCUCAACCUGGGAAUGGCAGUGGAUACUGGCAAGCUAGAGUGCGGUAGAGGGUAGUGGAAUUCCCGGUGUAGCAGUGAAAUGCGUAGAGAUCGGGAGGAACACCAGUGGCGAAGGCGGCUACCUGGACCAGCACUGACACUGAAGCACGAAAGCGUGGGGAGCAAACAGG
rnacentral:rRNA from 1 species